rnacentral:rRNA from 1 species
UACGUAGGUGGCAAGCGUUGUCCGGAUUUAUUGGGUUUAAAGGGUGCGUAGGCGGCAUUUUAAGUCAGUGGUGAAAGCCGAUCGCUUAACGAUCGAACUGCCAUUGAUACUGAAAUGCUUGAGUAUAGAUGAGGUAGGCGGAAUUGACAGUGUAGCGGUGAAAUGCAUAGAUAUUGUCAAGAACACCAAUUGCGAAGGCAGCUUACUAAGUUAUAACUGACGCUGAGGCACGAAAGUGCGGGGAUCAAACAGG